GGAUUACACAAGAACCUACCAUUUUUGUUGGGAAAAACAAAAAAAAUCAUCUUGAUGAGUGCGUGGGAACUUCUACAGCACAUAGAUUGUAUGAAUAUUGCAAAGGCCCUGUUUUCAUAACCCGUAAGAAUUGGACCAUAUCAGAAUCUGCUACUGCAUUAUGUCAAACUGGAGGAAGAUGGGAAUCAGAAUUUUUUUUAAGAGAAGCAAGAAUAUAGGCUCGUGUGAACGAAAACUGAUGCAGGAGAAAAAGGCUCCAAUCCAGAAGCAACUACAGGAGACUCAGUGCAAACGCAAAUCACCAUGGUCAGGGUCCCGUUCCUACGGAGCACAUUCGGAGUUGGAGCAAUGGGUUCAUGAUGGGCAAUAUCAGGA
rnacentral:lncRNA from 1 species